rnacentral:lncRNA from 1 species
UCAAGGACUGCCCACCCUUGGUAGUCACAGGGUGCUGGAUUUGGAAAUGGGACUUCUGUCUCCCAUGAAGACCAUCAAACACUUCCUGUGUGUGCUGCAGCACUCGGGUGGUGUGAGGUCUGGGGAAUGCUUUGGUGGCUGCCUGGCUGACGCUGGAAGCCAGAAGCCCAGUCAUCCCAUGAUGCCUAUUCCAGAAAAUGAGACACUCAGCUCUAAGGAGGUUUCCAAAGAAAGAGGUUCUGUUUAGGUCUGAUACCCCAAAUUAGGAUCAAGAGCUGAAACUGCAUUUUGAGGCCUGUUUCUGUACUGAGAAGGAAUCUACACCACAAAUGUUAUUUAAAGCACCAUUAAAAAAAAUUGCUUCCAGUAUGAUAAUUGUAAAGCAGUAAUAACAAUCAAAUAUUCUUUCAAGAGAUAAUCUUAUAUAAUAGCAUAAUUAACCCCAGAGCUGCACACUUGAAUAUGCCGUUUCUUGAAAUGCUUGUUGUUUUAAGAGAUGCCCAAUAUAACGCAGCAUAUUUUAUUUAGAAAUAAUAUAAAUGUUGAAAUUAAAUAAAGCUGUAUUUUUGUUG